GAAGACUGUAGCUCAGUGGUAGAGCAUCUGCCUGCAAAAGGUCCCAGGUUCAAUUCCUAGCAUCUCCA